rnacentral:rRNA from 1 species
CACAAGCGGUGGAGCAUGUGGUUUAAUUCGAAGCAACGCGAAGAACCUUACCAGGCCUUGACAUGCAGAGAACUUUCCAGGGAUGGAUUGGUGCCUUCGGGAACUCUGACACAGGUGCUGCAUGGCUGUCGUCAGCUUGUGUCGUGAGAUGUUGGGUUAAGUCCCGUAACGAGCGCAACCCUUGUCCUUAGUUACCAGCACGUUAUGGUGGGCACUCUAAGGAGACUGCCGGUGACAAACCGGAGGAAGGUGGGGGUGACGUCAAGUCAUCAUGGCCCUUACGGCCUGGGCUACACACGUGCUACAAUGGUCGGUACAAAGGGUUGCCAAGCCGCGAGGUGGAGCUAAUCCCAUAAAACCGAUCGUAGUCCGGAUCGCAGUCUGCAACUCGACUGCGUGAAGUCGGAAUCGCUAGUAAUCGUGAAUCAGAAUGUCACGGUGAAUACGUUCCCGGGCCUU